UGCAAAUGAUGAUGAAAUCAACGCUUGUUUCUCAAAACAUUGCAGUUGACGCAUAAGAUCUUACACCCUGCCUGGCCUGAGAGAAUGCAACUAGAUCCUUCCUUGGAUGUCUGAUGCG